rnacentral:rRNA from 1 species
GACGAACGCUGGCGGCGUGCUUAACACAUGCAAGUCGAACGAUGAAGCCGGAGCUUGCUCUGGUGAAUUAGUGGCGAACGGGUGAGUAACACGUGAGUAACCUGCCCUUGACUCUGGGAUAACUGCUAGAAAUGGUAGCUAAUACCGGAUACGACCCUCGGAGGCAUCUUCAGGGGGUGGAAAGAAUUUCGGUCAAGGAUGGACUCGCGGCCUAUCAGCUAGUUGGUGAGGUAAUGGCUCACCAAGGCGACGACGGGUAGCCGGCCUGAGAGGGUGACCGGCCACACUGGGACUGAGACACGGCCCAGACUCCUACGGGAGGCAGCAGUGGGGAAUAUUGCACAAUGAGCGCAAGCCUGAUGCAGCAACGCCGCGUGAGGGAUGACGGCCUUCGGGUUGUAAACCUCUUUUAGUAGGGAAGAAGCGAAAGUGACGGUACCUGCAGAAAAAGCACCGGCUAACUACGUGCCAGCCGCCGCUGUAA